AUCACAUUAUCACCACUGCACUAUGGGUAAAAAGUCCGAUUUUUUGGCAUAAAUCCAAAAAAAAAAAUUUUCAGUACUCGCCAACUUUUUUUAUAUUCUCAUUUAGAAAACUCCAGCCGACUUAAAAACAAUUUUUAUAAAAUUUUGGGGACUACCCAUAAUGUUUUAAGCUUCGUCAAAGUCAGCUGAUUCAGGGUUGCAUGGUAAAUUGAAAAAAGUGCGGGAAAUCAUUCUCUACUUUCAAUGUGUGUAAAUCUUUGGGUGUUUGAGAUAGUGAAAAAUAUUUGUUAUGGAAAAGAUUCAGGAAGAUAAAAAUUAAAACUUAUUUGUGCGUUUCGUGAGUUGUAAUUUUUGAGGCGAGAAAGGUAUUUAAAAUGUUUAAAUGAGAAAAUCUGUGUUAAUAUUUGCUGAACCCAAUAAUAAAAAGACUUCUUGCUCAUAUUUGCCCCUUCAAAAAAUAAUCGGCAUGUUGCAGUUACACAUGAGUUCUGCAAUUCCAUGCUGCUGGAAGUGUGGAGCAGCAACAAGCGACAAGAAAGCGCUGUUGUAGAUUAUAUCGUACAGAAAAUAGGCAAAGCAAAUAUUUCAGACGAUCAACUAAACGCCAUUGAGCUUAAAGUUAAACAAUUUGUGCGAUUUGUAAAUUAUAAUUUGCCUAAAUGCAAUCGAAUGCUGGAACGGCUAAAAGCAAAGCACCCGCGUUGGCUAGAGUCGAGCAUAAAAGUGAUUUCAUACGGCAGAUCACUUGAAAAAGUAGGUCGGAAGCAAUUAAGCUAUAACGAUGCUGGACCUCGAUUAAAACGAAAAUACAAUAUUAAUUACUAUUUCUUGCGAGUAUAAGGUAAACUCCUGGAAAUUUAAAGAUCUAUGCGAGAAAACCUUUUAUAUGUACACGGCAAAAUACAUUUGGUAUCCAAUGUCUCCAACUGUCCACAAAAUUUUGGUGCAUGGACAUCAAAUAAUGGACAAUUGUAUAGUUCCAGUUGGCGUUUUGGGAGAAAAUGCGUCUGAAGCGCGAAACAAAAUCUACAAGAACGAUCGGAAAUCCCAUGCUAGAAAGAGCAGUCGGCUAGAGAAUAUAAGUGAUGUGUUUAACAGAGCACUUGACUCAUCUGAUCCACUUAUUUCUAGCCUUAGCUUAAAAGAACGAGCGCGGCGAAAUAGGAGAAAGAAUUUGCCAUCAGAAGUUGUUGAACUCUUAGAGGAUUGUUCUCACAAUACUUCAAACCAGCACACCGGCUCAACCGAAAGCCAAGAUGAGGAAGAUGAUUCUGAUGGCACAGAUGAGGACACUUAUGAUGACAAUUGUAUUGAGUUGGAAGGAGAAGAAAGUGAUUAAAAUUUUUGUUCAGCGAAUGGGGCGGAUCCAAAA